AGAGCUUGCAAGCAAAUCUCAACUUCUAGAAGCUGAACUUGGGAGAAAGACAAAGCAGCUGAAGGAUGCAACUGCAAAAGCUGCAGUUGAAGCAGAGAAAAGAAGAGCAGCGAAACACGUGAUCAAGUCUCUGACUGCCCAGCUGAAGGAGGUAACUGAAAGGCUUCCAGAAGAGCAGGUCUCCACCAACAAUUUAGAUUUUAAUGUUGAACAAACAUCGUUUAACUGUACCCGUCCUUCAAAUGGUAAAUGUGUAACUACCACAACCCUAACCGAGUGCAGUGGUAGUUCUAAUACUGUUGUCUCAGCUAAGAAGUCUAGAGGGCAGAAGCCAGAACGCAUGUUACAAGUUGAACCAGGCGUGUACCUAUAUCUUAUUUCCUUACCUGAUGGAGGCAAUGAACUGAAACGAGUUCGUUUCAGCCGGAAAUGCUUCUCAGAGGACGAGGCAGAGAAGUGGUGGAACGAAAAUGGACAAAAAAUCUGUGAGAAGUACAACAUCACACCAGAACAUGUCUAGUAACAGUGCAUUUUGUCAUGUAAAAAGACGCGGAGGAAGGCUAUCCAAUGGAUUUUUACAAUCAUCUCUGUUCUUCGCGAUAACACAGGAAUUUUUGGUCAUUUUUGAGCAACUAGAAACUAGAACAAGGAGCAGCAUCCAGGAAUCAGCUGAAGACAGAGGAAAAGGUUAUGGAGAGAUUAGAAGAAUCUGAGUUUUAGUUUGUAUUUUUUGUAUAUCGUUUUUGACGCGAUUUCGAUGAUUUUAUUAUAACUAUAGCUAGUUUUCAUGUAGCAAAAUUAGCGAGCAGAAUCAACCAAUUUGUAGGUACAGCUUUUCUUUUUGAAUUUG
rnacentral:misc_RNA from 1 species